AGAGUUUGAUCCUGGCUCAGAUUGAACGCUGGCGGCAGGCCUAACACAUGCAAGUCGAGCGGCAGCACGGGGAGCUUGCUCCCUGGUGGCGAGCGGCGGACGGGUGAGUAAUGCAUAGGAAUCUGCCCGGUAGUGGGGGAUAACGUGGGGAAACCCACGCUAAUACCGCAUACGUCCUACGGGAGAAAGCGGAGGAUCUUCGGACUUCGCGCUAUCGGAUGAGCCUAUGUCGGAUUAGCUAGUUGGUAAGGUAACGGCUUACCAAGGCGACGAUCCGUAGCUGGUCUGAGAGGAUGAUCAGCCACACUGGGACUGAGACACGGCCCAGACUCCUACGGGAGGCAGCAGUGGGGAAUAUUGGACAAUGGGCGAAAGCCUGAUCCAGCCAUGCCGCGUGUGUGAAGAAGGCUUUCGGGUUGUAAAGCACUUUCAGCGAGGAAGAAAGCCUUUGGGUUAAUACCCCAGAGGAAGGACAUCACUCGCAGAAGAAGCACCGGCUAACUCCGUGCCAGCAGCCGCGGUAAUACGGAGGGUGCGAGCGUUAAUCGGAAUUACUGGGCGUAAAGCGCGCGUAGGUGGCUUGGCACGCCGGUUGUGAAA
rnacentral:rRNA from 1 species